GCUGGGCGUGGUGGCGUGCGCCUGUAAUCUCAGCUACUCAGGAGGCCGAGACAGGAGAAUCGCUUGAACCCGGGAGGCGGAGGCUGCAGUGAGCCGAGAUUGCGCCACUGCACUCCAGCCUGGGCAACAGAGCGAGACUCCGUCUCAA
rfam:Homo sapiens chromosome 1, GRCh38 reference primary assembly.